CGCAGCGCCCAGCGCCCAGCGCAGCAUCCCAGGGCCGCUGAAGGUAGCUGAGGCUCAAGCUUGCAAUCAGAUCUCCGCACUGGACCGGGACCCUGGGCAAGCUUGCCACCAAAAGACCCAUUUUCUCUUCUUGCGCAUUUCGCAGUCGUAGCUGGCCUGGGGAAUGCGAGCACGGUGGUGGCUUCCUUCGGGUCGCCCAGAAGCAGCUGCCGGUGGGAGAGCUAGCAGAGAGGCACGGGGGCGGCAGCCUCGGCCCAAAGUUUUCUCCCUUCAACCCUGUGUUUGACAUCUUCUAUCCAUGAGCACAACUGUUUCCCGAGCAAGAAAUACUGACUAUGGGAUGGAAAUACUGGAGCCCUAAGUUUGUAGCUGAUUAUACCGUACCCCAGAGACAAAGGUGGGACUGCACCCCAGAACCCCUGAAAGCUGCCCUCGAAGGAUUAUACUACUUAUAUGUCAAUCCCCCCUCCACCCGACUGUCUUCUUAGGCAUAGAAGGAUUCCACUGGUUUCCUAAAGGAACACACUGUUAGGAACUACCGCCAUCUCCGUGUUAACAUUGUGGAAAUGAGAUUCAAAUGAGGUACGGAUCUCUCUGGAAGCAAAAGAAAGCAGUUAUGCCCUGGGUAAAAUGCAAGUCGCUCUCUCGGGUGUUGUGCUAAGGAGUGUUUGGCUCGCUCCGUGAUUCUUCACCUCUUGCCGAUACAGUUCUGCUCUUCCGUGCUUCCUAUUAGCUUGUUGCAUUGGAUCGUCAGUCUGGAUUUUGCAUAUUAAAUGGUGUAAGUAAAACCGAUGUGAUGGACUACCUGUGGCACACUCAGCUACAAAAUAAAAGCUUUUUUAACCCAGGGUUUAGGAGGAAGAGGCAGGCAGAUCUCUGUGAGUUCGAGGCCGGCUUCGUCUAUAUAGAGUUCCAGGGACAGCCUUAGUCUCAAAAUAUAAAACAAAACAAACAAAAAGAGUCACUACAUACAGCUCAAAGAGAAAGGCAAGCCCAAUAAGCCUCCCAUUUGGGCUCCAUGUCAAACCUUACAGGUUGAAAUCUCAGGUUGUUCAUCCAGAAGGCUCCUACAUCCACAUCUCUAAUCCUGCUCCUGGAACAGCCCAGAUGCAACCUCAAGACAAGCGUCUUUUUGCAUAACACUAUGGGACAGAAUAAACGGAAGGAAAGAUCCAGGAGGGAUCUCUCCAUCUCAGAAAACCACACUGCUUGAUGAUAAGAUAGUGAUCUCUUCCUCUGGCUUUACCGGGGAAAAGUCUCCCUUGUACUUUGAAUGAGGGAUUUCCCCUAAACAAUGCCGAUGACCUCGGUUUAGUUGCAGCCCUGGAGACCAGUGAUUAAAGCAAAGCCAGGCUUAUGGGGGACGCUGGGCUAUAAUGCCUAUUAUGAUAAACUAUAAUUCAGAAGCAUCUUGCAGAGACAAGAAAAGUCAAGAUUUUAAGUACAGCUUUAACAACAGUUCAGCUUCAUCCGG